rnacentral:misc_RNA from 1 species
GUUUAAUUCUCCACAAUCAGGUUUUCAAUACUAAUAAACUUCCUUGUUAAAUUCAGGUUUCUGUAUCUGAAUUUUCUUGAUAUUUUAAAUCUGUAAUCUGUUGAACUUGGGCACAUUUCAUGGGGUAAUUUUAAAACAUGUCCUACAUUGCUUACAGUAUGCAUCUAGUUGUCAAUAAUUUUUUUUUUCAGUGUUCAAUUUAUAAUCUUUUCUUAUUGCCUUCCUUUUUUUGGUUGCUUUUAUUCCUUACAACAGGCAGUUGAA